GACGUAGGGCGCGAGCGUUGUCCGGAUUUAUUGGGCGUAAAGAGCUCGUAGGUGGUUUGUCGCGUUGUCCGUGAAAACUCACAGCUCAACUGUGGGCGUGCGGGGCGAUACGGGCAGACUUGAGUACUGCAGGGGAGACUGGAAUUCCUGGUGUAGCGGUGGAAUGCGCAGAUAUCAGGAGGAACACCGGUGGCGAAGGCGGUUCUCUGGGAAUAUCCUGACGGCUGAGGAGCGAAAGUGUGGGGAGCGAACAGG
rnacentral:rRNA from 1 species